CCUUCUUAACUUAACCCAAUUUCCAGAUUGAUUAUCGUUUUUUUAUUUCCCGGUUUAGUAUUAGAUAUAAAUAUACCUAUCUAA
rnacentral:tRNA from 1 species